ACGGCUCAGUAACACGUCGGUAACCUACCCUGUGGUCAGGGAUAACCUCGGGAAACUGAGGGUAAAACCUGAUAGAUGACGGUGCCUGGAAUGGCCCAUCGUCCAAACUCGUGCCAUAGGAUGGGCCGGCGGCUGAUUAGGCUGUUGGUGGGGUAAUGGCCCACCAAACCAAAGAUCAGUACGGGCCAUGAGAGUGGUAGCCCGGAGAGGGACACUGAGAUACUGGUCCCAGCCCUACGGGGUGCAGCAGGCGCGGAAACUCUCCAAUGCGCGAAAGCGUGAGAGGGGGAUACAUAGUGCUUACGCUUUUGGUGUAGGCUUUAUCGAGUGUAGAUAGCUCGGUGAAUAAGUGGUGGGUAAGACUGGUGCCAGCCGCCGCGGUAACACCAGCGCCACAAGUGGUCAUCGCGUUUAUUGGGCCUAAAGCGUUCGUAGCCCGCUUGGUAAAUCUCUUGUGAAAUUGUUCGGCUUAACCGAACAGCGUGCAGGGGACACUGCCAGGCUCGAGACCGGGAGGGGUCAGAGGUAUUCUAUGGGGACCGGUAAAAUGGGAUAAUCCAUAGAGGACCACCGAUGGCGAAGGCAUCUGACCAGAACGGAUCUGACGGUGAGGAACGAAAGCUAGGGGAGCGAACCGGAUUAGAUACCCGAGUAGUCCUAGCCGUAAACGCUGUGAGCUAGGUGUCGCGCAUCUCAUGUAGAUGCGCGGUGUCGAAACGAAGGUGAUAAGCUCACCGCCUGGGAAGUACGGUCGCAAGACUGAAACUUUAAGGAAUUGGCGGGGGAGCAC
rnacentral:rRNA from 1 species